CCCUUAGAUGUCCGGGGCUGCACGCGCGCUACACUGAAGGAAUCAGCGUGCUAAAACCAUUGUCGAAAGGCAUUGGUAAACCCAUUAAAAUCCUACGUGAUUGGGAUCGGGAAUUGCAGUUAUUUCCCUUGAACGAGGAAUUCCCAGUAAGUGUGGGUCAUAAGCUCGCGUUGAUUACGUCCCUGCCCUUUGUACACACCGCCCGUCGCUGCCCGGGACUGAGCCGUUUCGAGAAAAGCGGGGACUGCUGCUGUCGGGGCUUUCGGGCCUUGGCUUCGGUGGAAACCGCUUUAAUCGCAGUGGCUUGAACCGGGCAAAAGUCGUANCA
rnacentral:rRNA from 1 species